UACGUAGGUGGCGAGCGUUGUCCGGAAUUAUUGGGCGUAAAGAGCUCGUAGGCGGUGUGUCGCGUCGGCCGUGAAAACCCGGGGCUCAACCCCGGGCCUGCAUUCGAUACGGGCAGACUAGAGUUCGGUAGGGGAGUCUGGAAUUCCUGGUGUAGCGGUGAAAUGCGCAGAUAUCAGGAGGAACACCGGUGGCGAAGGCGGGUCUCUGGGCCGUAACUGACGCUGAGGAGCGAAAGCGUGGGGAGCGAACAGG
rnacentral:rRNA from 1 species